rnacentral:rRNA from 1 species
GAUUAUGGCUCAGGAUGAACGCUAGCGGCAGGCUUAACACAUGCAAGUCGAGGGGCAGCGCGAGGUAGCAAUACUUGGCGGCGACCGGCGAAAGGUGAGUAACGCGUGAGCAACAUGCCCGAUAGUGGAGGAUAGUCGAUGGAAACGUCGUGUAAUACUCCGUAACAACAGUUCCCGCAUGAGAAUUGUUUAAUAGAUUUAUCGCUAUCGGAUUGGCUCGCGUCCCAUUAGGCAGUUGGCGGGGUAACGGCCCACCAAACCGACGAUGGGUAGGGGUUCUGAGAGGAACGGUCCCCCCACAUUGGAACUGAGACACGGUCCAGACUCCUACGGGAGGCAGCAGUGAGGAAUAUUGGACAAUGGCCGAGAGGCUGAUCCAGCCAUGCCGCGUGCGGGAAAGACGGCCCUAUGGGUUGUAAACCGCUUUUGUUGGAGAGCAAUAAGAGUUACGUGUAACUUGAUGAGAGUAUCCAGCGGAUAAGCAUCGGCUAACCCCGUGCCAGCAGCAGC